UGUGCUCUCCCUGCACGGCUGCCACUGCUCUCCUGCUGCACUAAGCUUGUUUCUGCACUUUGUCACAAUUCCAGAGCAGGAGAUUAUCUUUAAUUUUGUGAUAAUUACCACAAGCCACUUUCAUUCCCAGCUUUUAAGUGUCUACUGCUGUACAUGUACCAAAUGUGGAACCAACACCAACCGUCCACACAAAGGAAAGGUGUUGGAGGCAAGGAACCACAGAUCUUGGGGAGAAAUGAUGCUUGAUGUGGUCACACUGGACACCACCACCACUAAGCUGACGCCCUGCAGGACAGGCAGGAAUUUCCUCCUGGAAAGCCUCCCCUGUGCAGGAAAGGGCUCAAGUUUCAGCUCUACCAGCCAGAGGAGCAAAACCUUCACAAGCAAUGCCAGACUGACUGACUUUUGGGAUCACCCACACAAAACUGGUGCUGGUCAAACCCAGCCGAUCCUCUCUACUGCCUGGUUCACCCCAUCAUUCAUCCCAGUGCUCAGGCAAGGCUGGCUCCAUCCCUAUGGGCAAGCAUACAGAGGGAGGAGAGGCCUGGCUCUGAUGCACCUGCAGCACAGGUAGCUCAACAUUCC